rnacentral:ncRNA from 1 species
CUGAGCCGUAUGAGGUAGGAAACUCUCAAGUACGGUUCUAAGGGAAGGAAGUUCCUAUUCCGAC